UACGAGGGGGGCUAGCGUUGCUCGGAAUUACUGGGCGUAAAGGGAGCGUAGGCGGACAUUUAAGUCAGGGGUGAAAUCCCAGAGCUCAACUCUGGAACUGCCUUUGAUACUGGAUGUCUUGAGUGUGAGAGAGGUAUGUGGAACUCCGAGUGUAGAGGUGAAAUUCGUAGAUAUUCGGAAGAACACCAGUGGCGAAGGCGACAUACUGGCUCAUUACUGACGCUGAGGCUCGAAAGCGUGGGGAGCAAACAGG
rnacentral:rRNA from 1 species